AACGCUGCUAGCGUAGAAGCUGCAAUCGCCAGGAAUCGCGGAUCAGCACCCCGCGGCGAAUAC
rnacentral:rRNA from 1 species